ACAGUAUUUGUGACAGUGUGAUCGCUUUCACAUUGUCCACUGUCUAAAGAUGCAUUUAUGCCCAUAUGGAUGUGAGAAUUUUCGUGAGCUCCAUUUUUUUCCGAACCCAAAAAUCACUUGCCCCUAAUUUAAAAUUACAACAUAUUAUUUAUCAUGUCAUAGUUUAAUUGCACCAAGAAACUAAAUUACACACUGCAUUUUACCCAAAUAAAAUCAGGGCUCAGCAAAGAUUAUUCUACCCAAAUCAUAAAUUGAUAAUAGGAAAUUUGAUAGCACAAGCUCAAGCUAUAAACAUUUGAGUCAAUAGCCAUCUUCUGCACUACCUAUUAUUAAUUACAAUUUACAAGCCACUAAAAUCUAGUUUGCAAAAUGCAUUUUCCCCAUGCUAAAGUCGAGGAAUUAGAUGCAAUCUACCCUCUUUUCUAACUAUUUUUUCAGACAAGCCACAUAGAAAAAGGCAAAUAUUUUGAUUGAACCAAUUCGAUUUAAAAUCACCAAUCAACGUAUCAUCAUGCCCUUCUGCUCUAUCUUCUUCGAUUGUCUCAAGUUUAGGCGAAUGUGACGGCUUAUUAGGAACUAUUAUAGGCAACGGUGCAACCUCGAGCCAAGAGUCAAUAACAACUCCUUUCGCCAUUAAUCUUGAAUUUUAUCCGAUUCGAAAACUAUUUGGAAUUGGAAGAGAUGUACUACUAUAUCAUAUGACACUAGAGAGGAUGAUCAUGAAAAAUGAUUUGAAUUGAGAGGAAAUACUUCGGGUUUAUAUAGGGAAACAUAGGAAAAAAAUAUCGAGCGUAUAAUUGAUGAUGGAAAAUGAAUGAUCAAAUGGAAUGGAGUCAUAG
rnacentral:lncRNA from 1 species